rfam:Triticum aestivum genome assembly, contig: Triticum_aestivum_CS42_TGACv1_scaffold_375027_5AL
UAGCUACUCUCUCCGCCCGAAAAUACUUGUCAUUGAAAUGGAUGUAUCUAGAUACAUCUAUUUUCAUUCAUUUUGAUGACAAGUAUUUUCGGACGGAGGGAGUGCUUU